UACGGAGGGUGCGAGCGUUGUUCGGAAUCACUGGGCGUAAAGCGCGCGUAGGCGGUUUGUUAAGUGGGAUGUGAAAGCCCCGGGCUUAACCUGGGAAUUGCAUUUCAAACUGGCGAACUAGAGUGCGGUAGAGGGAGGUAGAAUUUCCUGUGUAGCGGUGAAAUGCGUAGAUAUAGGAAGGAAUACCAGUGGUGAAGGCGGCCUCCUGGAUCGACACUGACGCUAAGGCGCGAAAGCGUGGGGAGCAAACAGG
rnacentral:rRNA from 1 species